rnacentral:rRNA from 1 species
GAUGAACGCUGGCGGCGUGCCUAAUACAUGCAAGUCGAGCGAACGGACUAGAAGCUUGCUUCUCUGAUGUUAGCGGCGGACGGGUGAGUAACACGUGGAUAACCUACCUAUAAGACUGGGAUAACUUCGGGAAACCGUAGCUAAUACCGGAUAAUAUUUUGAACCGCAUGGUUCAAAAGUGAAAGACGGUCUUGCUGUCACUUAUAGAUGGAUCCGCGCUGCAUUAGCUAGUUGGUAAGGUAACGGCUUACCAAGGCAACGAUGCAUAGCCGACCUGAGAGGGUAUUCGCCCAACCUGGACCGGGGACACGGCCAAGCUCCCAAGGGGGGCCAGCGGUAGGAAUUUUUCGGCAAGGGCGGAAGCCUUACCGAGGCACGGCGGGGUGGGUAAGGAGGUCCUCCGGUUGUUAAAACCUUUUUUUUGGGAAGAACAUUAGUUUUAGUUAACUGUGCCCUUCUGACGGUACCUAAUCAGAAAGCCACGGCUAACUACGUG